CCAUGCUGGAUAGAAAUAUGACGCAGCUUCAACGUAAGGGUUUUUUGAAAAAAGAGCGGUUCGCACUUCGCUGUGCGGAGACACGGAACAGUCGGUCUGAUAUUCAUGAAUUUUGUGAUGUGGAUUAAAAAGGAUAUUCUCUGAUAUUCCAAAACGCGUAAUCUGAGCGGACGCCAGGCCUAAUGACUGAAAUGUUUGUGGUUCCGACUGUAAUCGUGUCAGUGUUCGUCGAGGCCUGGUUUGGCGUCUUGUACUUGAAACACCUGAGGAGCUAUAAUGGCGUCUGGAGCUAGCAGCUGAUCGAUUAUGGACAACAAGGCCUCCUUUACCUACGAAUAGGCCGCAGUGAUGACAAGUAGGCCGCCGGAGGGCCAAGUUUGAAAUCGCUGCAUUGGUUAUUCGAGCAGCACACAAGGAGUGACCCGACCGUGGCCUCUCAGCGGCGGUUUGUUUGGUUGUUGGCGUCCCUGAAACACCUGAGGAGCUAUAAUGGCGUCUAGAGCUAGCAGCUGAUCGAUUAUGGACAACAAGGCCUCCUUUACCUACGAAUAGGCUGCUGUGAUGGCAAGUAGGCCGCGGGAGCGCCAUGUUAGAAAUCGCUGCGUUGGUUAUUUGGAGCUACACCUAGUCUCCUGUUCUGAUUAGCUGUGGUUGCUUCCUGGAGGAGGGCAUUGGCUGACAUGAUGCUGCCAUCACCUAACAUUUCUCCCUCUCCUUUUCAUUUCCAUGAACAUGGAAAGUUCUCCUGAUAGGUUGACCUGUUGUUGUGUCUCUGCUCCGUCUUCCUUCACCUCCAGUCGGUCGUGUCAGAUGGCUGCUGGUGCUGAGCCCGGUUCUGGUUCUGUUGAAGAUUUCUUCCUGGUAGAGUGGAGUUCUGCUGCACUGCCGCUACAUGCAUGCUCUGUAUUGGGGACUGCUGCAAAUUCAA